rnacentral:rRNA from 1 species
UACAGAGGUCCCGAGCGUUGUUCGGAUUCACUGGGCGUAAAGGGUGCGUAGGUGGUUAGGUAAGUCCGAUGUGAAAUCUCCAGGCUCAACCUGGAAAUGGCAUUGGAUACUGUUUAGCUUGAGGAGUGGAGGGGGGACUGGAAUUCUCGGUGUAGCAGUGAAAUGCGUAGAUAUCAAGAGGAACACCAGUGGCGAAGGCGAGUCCCUGGACGAUACCUGACACUGAGGCACGAAAGCCGGGGGAGCAAACAGG